CCUGCCACCAUGCCUGGCUAAUUUUCUGUAUUUUUAGUAGAGACAGGGUUUUGCCGUGUUAGCCAGGAGUACUUGUUUUUUAAUGCUUGUCAUUUUCAUGAACUGUAGUCUUGCACAACAGGCAGCUUGAUGUGGCUCAAGGAGUACUAAGAUUGAACAGACCUAGGCUCUAGUUCCAUUUAUUACCUUAACUAUAUAAUUCUGACUAAGUAAAACUUGGCAAUCAUAGCACCUGGACUGCCUAUCUUUUGUACCUAUGUACAAAAUUGUUAUAUCAAAAAAUAUAUGUAUGUGAAAGCAAAAUUCUUCAAUAUCUGAAAUAUUUCAAUAUUACCAUCCAUAUAAAGUUUUAGGGGAACAGAUUUUAUUUCCCUUUUUCCUUCUUCUCUAGGUUUGUCCCGAUUGGCUAAAGUUAUGAGAAACAAAACUGUAUUUUUAUCAGUCUUCUUUCAAAGUUAAUAAAUUAUGAAGACAACCCAUUUGCAAAGCAAUCAAAGAGAGCAAAAGGUUCUAGAAAACUCAGGAGUUAAAUGCUUCACUGUACCCAAUGACUAAGAAAAAAGGAACCUAGACUUUACUAAGCUCAAAGAAUUAAAAACCAACACUUAGCAGCUCUUCAGGUCAACUACAGUUCACAAUUCCCUGGAGGAAAACGCAGCCCAUAGUACAAGUCUGACAACACCUCUAGAUCUGCGGAAUCACCUAUUCUACAUAAAAGAUACAUGUACAGGGCUGAUGAAAGCCAUCUGCUGGGAACUAUGACUUUCAUAUGAAAGGAAAAAACCAGAAGGAACUGCUUUCAUUUUCCUGGGAACCAGCUGCAGCUGAAUGAGUCCUAAUCCUGCUCCAGCUGGGACAAGCAGAAGGGUGAAGUUACUCCUGGUCUAAUUCAUUCGCUGCAGAUCCUUUGUGAAAUGACUCCACCCCUGAGUAGCCAAGUGGUAAAUAACUUUAUCAGAGUGAAGCUCUUAAUAAUUCCUAUACAUAAAUCAGAGCAUGAAAAGUAUUCAUUAUUAUAAUUUUAAGAAACACUCUCCAGGUCACCAGAAAAAAAUAAAUUUUUAAUUCUAUUUAAACCAGCAAACUCCGCACCUAGAUUUAGUCCUCUUACAUAGCUAAGAACCAAGUCAGUAUGACAAAGAUAUUUUCUCCAAAACUUUAAAUGCAAAGAGAAAAUAAAUCUAAUAGAUGUUAAGGAGAUUCUUACAGCUUCAGGAAGACUGAAUGAUAUAAAUUUUCUUUCCAGAUUCAUCACAGUUCCUGUUAUGUAUUUGCUCUCCUAGUAUUAAACAUAACAAAAAAGUAUUGGCCCACAAGUCCAGGAUGAACUAAAGAAAAAACAGGCAGCAAGG
rnacentral:lncRNA from 1 species